AUGAUAAUUUAUCCAGGUUCCUCCUUUCUUAGUGAAGGUCUGGGAUGCAGGCACAUGUUAAUUGUCCCAUCAUGGCAACUUUCAAAUCCACUCUGUAAUAUGGUACAGUGUGGGCUUUAUUUAUUAUUUAUUGCUGGUGUUAUUGAAGGUAAUGACAACAUGGUUGAUUGUCAUUGUUACUGGGGAUACAUCAUUAUACCCUUCUCUAGGAGGCAGGUGUUAAAACCCUGGAAUUCCAUUUCAGGCCUUGUUGGGAGUUGGGUAUGGCUGAGAACUCCCAGACAUUGGAGAUGUGCCUCUCGCAGGAGGCAGAGUGCUGCAGAGGUUAACUGAGUGCGCUCUGAAACCAGACUGCAAUUCAAAACCUGCCUUCCGAGGCUGGCUCUCACGCUUGCCUGCUGUGAGGCCACGGGCAAAUCACUUGAACUCCCUGUGUGUGUUUCCCCAUCUGUUAAAUUGGGGUGAUCACAGUACCGGCCUCAUACGGUUAUACGACAAUUAAAUGCAUGUAAAGCAUUCACAACAGUGCUCGACAGACAGUGGCAUGUAUACUCAAUAAUGCCUGUCAUUAUUAUUGCUCAGCCUCAUACAAAGUGGAUUCUUGAAGGGACAAUCAGCGUGAUGCUCGGAGGACACUUAUUCAAUUAAUGCAACUGUCUUCCUGUAUUUAAAUAUCUCUGAAGGUCAUUUAUGUGAAUUUAGUUUACAAAUUCUUCCUGAGUGCAGCACGUGCAUUCUAAAUAUCUGAGUAGUUUUUUUUUUACUAAAAUAAUUUUGUUCACAUUUAAUGUAAUAUAUGGUACAUACAAAAGGGUAUAGGUUUGUAUCCGGUAUGUAAAUUUAAAGCAUCUGUGUGCUUUCCCAUCCGAUUUUCUGGUCUGUCCUCCAAAAGUGACCACUAUCCUGAAUCUCGUGUUUAUUGCCCCUUUGCUUAAAAAAAAAANNNNNNNNNNNNNNNNNNNNNNNNNNNNNNNNNNNNNNNNNNNNNNNNNNNNNNNNNGUGUAUAGCCUGAUUAUUAUAUUUUUUAGAAAGUAUGCACUUAUGUAACUACACCUAGUUCAAGAUAUGACCUAUUACUGAUACUCUAACAGUUUCUCUGACAUCCCUUCUCACCCUCUUUCACCAUAAGGUAACCACUGUUCUGAAUCAUGUCACCAGAAGCUGUAUGUAUUCUUAUGUCUGGGUUUCCCUUGUGGCUCAGACAGUAAAGAAUCUGCCUGCAAUACGGGAGGCCCAGAUUUGAUCCCUGGGUUGGGAAAAUCCCCUGGAGAAGGGACUGGUAACCCACUCCAGUAUUCCUGCCUGGAGAAUCCC
rnacentral:lncRNA from 1 species